GCAGUCGAGCGGACCGACGGGAGCUUGCUCCCUUAGGUCAGCGGCGCACUGGUGAGUAACACGUGGGUAACCUGCCUGUAAGACUGGGAUCUCUCCGGGAAACCGGGGCUAAUACCGGAUGCUUGAUUGAACCGCAUGGUUCAAUCAUGAAAGGCGGCUUCGGCUGCCGUUUACAGAUGGACCCGCGGCGCAUUAGCUAGUUGGUGAGGUAACGGCUCACCAAGGCGACGAUGCGUAGCCGACCUGAGAGGGUGAUCGGCCACACUGGGACUGAGACACGGCCCAGACUCCUACGGGAGGCAGCAGUAGGGAAUCUUCCGCAAUGGACGAAAGUCUGACGGAGCAACGCCGCGUGAGUGAUGAAGGUUUUCGGAUCGUAAAGCUCUGUUGUUAGGGAAGAACAAGUACCGUUCGAAUAGGGCGGUACCUUGACGGUACCUAACCAGAAAGCCACGGCUAACUACGUGCCAGCAGCCGCGGUAAUACGUAGGUGGCAAGCGUUGUCCGGAAUUAUUGGGCGUAGAGCGCGCGCAGGCGGUUUCUUAAGUCUGAUGUGAAAGCCCCCGGCUCAACCGGGGAGGGUCAUUGGAAACUGGGGAACUUGAGUGCAGAAGAGGAGAGUGGAAUUCCACGUGUAGCGGUG
rnacentral:rRNA from 1 species